UCACAUGUAGACACAAAACAGAAAUCAAAUAGACUCAACAACUAAUUUAGACAUAUUUCUGCAUUUGAUUUUCAAAUCGAAUCCACACUGAUCCUUCACAUUAUGUACAAAUCUAGGAAGAGUACUUGGAAAUGGAAAUACAGCAAGAGGAAAAGGAUCAGCAACUGUUAUUCGAACAGCAAUGAUGAGCAAAAAUCCGUAGCAAUUCCAGAUUUAACUAAAACAGCCUAGAAAAAUUUGAAACCCAGUAGGAAAAUAGAGAUUAACCAGGACACCCCCAAAUUCACUCCAAUAAACUCAGAAAUGAACACAAAAACUACUUUAAGACUCCCAGCCAAUAACUAAUCAACCCCAGACCAGCUUAAACAGACCCACACUCACUCGAAAUCAAAGAAACAAACCUUUGAAAUUCCUGUAGCCAAACCCCAAACUAGAAGAUGUGAUUUAACAACCAGAAUUUGAUAUUAUCCUAAAGUUCAAUGGAACAUUGCUCAUCUGAUCUUUUACUACAUUUUUGUUUUCAUUAUUUUUUAUUUUUUUUUGGAAUUUAGUUUCUGAAUUUGGGAAUAUAUUGAAAUCUAAUAGUUAGUAUGAAAAAAGUAUUUUUGGAAGCUAAUAACGGCUGAAAG
rnacentral:lncRNA from 1 species